GAUGAACGCUGGCGGCGUGCCUAAUACAUGCAAGUCGAGCGAACGGACGAGAAGCUUGCUUCUCUGAUGUUAGCGGCGGACGGGUGAGUAACACGUGGAUAACCUACCUAUAAGACUGGGAUAACUUCGGGAAACCGGAGCUAAUACCGGAUAAUAUUUUGAACCGCAUGGUUCAAAAGUGAAAGACGGUCUUGCUGUCACUUAUAGAUGGGUCCGCGCUGCAUUAGCUAGUUGGUAAGGUAACGGCUUACCAAGGCAACGAUGCAUAGCCGACCUGAGAGGGUGAUCGGCCACACUGGAACUGAGACACGGUCCAGACUCCUACGGGAGGCAGCAGUAGGGAAUCUUCCGCAAUGGGCGAAAGCCUGACAGAGCAACGCCGCGUGAGUGAUGAAGGUCUUCGGAUCGUAAAACUCUGUUAUUAGGGAAGAACAUAUGUGUAAGUAACUGUGCACAUCUUGACGGUACCUAAUCAGAAAGCCACGGCUAACUACGUG
rnacentral:rRNA from 1 species